CCUACGGGUGGCAGCAGUGAGGAAUAUUGGUCAAUGGACGAGAGUCUGAACCAGCCAAGUAGCGUGAAGGAUGACUGCCCUAUGGGUUGUAAACUUCUUUUAUAAAGGAAUAAAACGACGCACGUGUGCCUGUUUGCAUGUACUUUAUGAAUAAGGAUCGGCUAACUCCGUGCCAGCAGCCGCGGUAAUACGGAGGAUCCGAGCGUUAUCCGGAUUUAUUGGGUUUAAAGGGAGCGUAGAUGGGUUGUUAAGUCAGUUGUGAAAGUUUGCGGCUCAACCGUAAAAUUGCAAUUGAUACUGGCAGUCUUGAGUAAAGUUGAGGUAGGCGGAAUUCGUGGUGUAGCGGUGAAAUGCUUAGAUAUCACGAAGAACCCCGAUUGCGAAGGCAGCUUACUAAACUGUGACUGACAUUGAUGCUCGAAAGUGUGGGUAUCAAACAGGAUUAGAUACCCCUGUAGUC
rnacentral:rRNA from 1 species